AUGUGCUGGACACCUCUCCUCCUCCUGCUCCUCAUCCACUGCCCAGGGCUCAGUUCUCAGGCUGUGGUGACUCAGGAGCCCUCAUUGGUUGUGUCCCCAGGAGGAACCAUCACUCUCACCUGUGGCUCCAGCACUGGCAUUGUCACUGAUGGUCACUAUCCAUACUGGUUCCAGCAGAAGUCUGGACUAGCUCCUAGAGUGCUGAUUUAUAACACAAAUAACAAAGUCUCAUGGACCCCUGCCCGCUUCUCAGGCUCCCUCACUGGGGGCAAAGCUGCCCUCACCAUCUCAGGGGCCCAGCCUGAAGAUGAGGCUGAGUAUUACUGCUGGCUGGUAUAUUCUGGCAUACGGCACAGUGACAGAUUCAGAUGA